rnacentral:rRNA from 1 species
UGGGGAAUAUUGGACAAUGGGCGCAAGCCUGAUCCAGCCAUGCCGCGUGAAUGAUGAAGGCCUUAGGGUUGUAAAGUUCUUUCACCGGAGAAGAUAAUGACGGUAUCCGGAGAAGAAGCCCCGGCUAACUUCGUGCCAGCAGCCGCGGUAAUACGAAGGGGGCUAGCGUUGUUCGGAAUUACUGGGCGUAAAGCGCACGUAGGCGGACAUUUAAGUCAGGGGUGAAAUCCCAGAGCUCAACUCUGGAACUGCCUUUGAUACUGGGUGUCUUGAGUGUGGAAGAGGUCAGUGGAAUUGCGAGUGUAGAGGUGAAAUUCGUAGAUAUUCGCAGGAACACCAGUGGCGAAGGCGGCUGACUGGUCCACAACUGACGCUGAGGUGCGAAAGCGUGGGGAGCAAACAGGAUUAGAUACC